GAGUAACACGUGGGUAACCUGCCUGUAAGACUGGGAUAACUCCGGGAAACCGGGAGCUAAUACCGGAUAGUUCCUUGAACCGCAUGGUUCAAGGAUGAAAGACGGUUUCGGCUGUCACUUACAGAUGGACCCGCGGCGCAUUAGCUAGUUGGUGGGGUAAUGGCUCACCAAGGCGACGAUGCGUAGCCGACCUGAGAGGGUGAUCGGCCACACUGGGACUGAGACACGGCCCAGACUCCUACGGGAGGCAGCAGUAGGGAAUCUUCCGCAAUGGACGAAAGUCUGACGGAGCAACGCCGCGUGAGUGAUGAAGGUUUUCGGAUCGUAAAGCUCUGUUGUUAGGGAAGAACAAGUGCGAGAGUAACUGCUCGCACCUUGACGGUACCUAACCAGAAAGCCACGGCUAACUACGUGCCAGCAGCCGCGGUAAUACGUAGGUGGCAAGCGUUGUCCGGAAUUAUUGGGCGUAAAGGGCUCGCAGGCGGUUUCUUAAGUCUGAUGUGAAAGCCCCCGGCUCAACCGGGGAGGGUCAUUGGAAACUGGGAAACUUGAGUGCAGAAGAGGAGAGUGGAAUUCCACGUGUAGCGGUGAAAUGCGUAGAGAUGUGGAGGAACACCAGUGGCGAAGGCGACUCUCUGGUCUGUAACUGACGCUGAGGAGCGAAAGCGUGGGGAGCGAACAGGAUUAGAUACCCUGGUAGUCCACGCCGUAAACGAUGAGUGCUAAGUGUUAGGGGGUUUCCGCCCCUUAGUGCUGCAGCUAACGCAUUAAGCACUCCGCCUGGGGAGUACGGUCGCAAGACUGAAACUCAAAGGAAUUGACGGGGGCCCGCACAAGCGGUGGAGCAUGUGGUUUAAUUCGAAGCAACGCGAAGAACCUUACCAGGUCUUGACAUCCUCUGACAACCCUAGAGAUAGGGCUUUCCCUUCGGGGACAGAGUGACAGGUGGUGCAUGGUUGUCGUCAGCUCGUGUCGUGAGAUGUUGGGUUAAGUCCCGCAACGAGCGCAACCCUUGAUCUUAGUUGCCAGCAUUCAGUUGGGCACUCUAAGGUGACUGCCGGUGACAAACCGGAGGAAGGUGGGGAUGACGUCAAAUCAUCAUGCCCCUUAUGACCUGGGCUACACACGUGCUACAAUGGACAGAACAAAGGGCUGCAAGACCGCAAGGUUUAGCCAAUCCCAUAAAUCUGUUCUCAGUUCGGAUCGCAGUCUGCAACUCGACUGCGUGAAGCUGGAAUCGCUAGUAAUCGCGGAUCAGCAUGCCGCGGUGAAUACGUUCCCGGGCCUUGUACACACCGCCCGUCACACCACGAGAGUUUGCAACACCCGAA
rnacentral:rRNA from 1 species